AGUUCGCAUUUACUAUUUAAAACUCAACUUAAUUUAUUGUUUAGAAAAUUUAAACUAUCAUAAUAUAUAUUUUAUUGAAUUCUCGAGCUAUUAAAAUUCAUGAGUGCAUGUAAUGUUGCCAUAUUUCCACAUAAACGUAUUUGGUUCGUACGUCACAGCAACCCUCAAAAGAAUUCAUUUCGGUAUUCAUUCAUGACAAGGCGGUGAAAAGAAUACAACGACGACGGGCAGUCGGUUCAUUUUUUCACUAUCAUUUUUAAUUUUGCUUCAAUACUCAGCUUAAACAAAUUGGUAAAAUCGUUUUUAUUAAAGCUACGCUACAAAAGUGACGCGCAAAAGAAAUACAGUAAUAGCUACUGACGCACAAAGUUCACAAGAACAGCUAAAUUAUUCGUGAAAUAUGGAGAACCCAAAUGAUGUACCCGCACCAUCUGGAUCAACUGAGUAAGAAUGAACAAGUCUGGGGUUUUGUUUAAUUUUAUAUUCAUUUGCAUAAUUAACAUUUAGUUUUUAUUUUGUUUAAUGUUUUUUUAUUUUUGCUAAACCAUUGCACCUCUAUAUACGUGUGUAUAAUGUAUGUUAUCAGUUGAAAAUAAGGUGCUUUCGGGUGCAAUUAGCGCAUAUUCGCCAUCUUAGCCAAUAAGCAAUGCGUAUGUUCUUUUGUACGGAAAAUGGUUUAAAUGGUCUUUGGUUAUCUGUUAUUCAUAUAUGUAUGUACUUACAUAUGUACAACUACUUAUAUGGUUUAUAGCCGCAGACAUGCAUACAUGCUCGUAACUACGUACGCACUAUGUAUGUACCUACAUACAAAAACGUUUUAUUAGAAUUUCAUUAGUAACAUCAAAGUGCAGAGAUAGUCUAGAAGCAAUGACAGUUGUGGCCAUUUGCGACUUCUUUUGUGCAGUAGACGUGACCUUAAUGGCCUUAAAAAAGCAGACUGACAAUAGUAUUAACAUUGAUACGUUUACAUGUUUUGUUUAUUUUGGAUAAGUGCAAGGGGUGCGGGGUAAUUGCCGAUUGGUAUGUAGUGUUCAUAGAUUGAAAAAUAGUACCAUAUCGCAUUCUUGUUAAGUCAUUAAUUGUAUACGUUUGUUGAAUGUUAAGCAUUACCUAAAGUUCAUUUACGAACCCUAGUGGCGAAUCAAUAACGAACCUUAACGCAUUUACAUUUUCCACUGUCAUCGUGCUCAUUUUCUAGAAGAACGGCAUAAACCAUAAAAUAAUUUGAGUUGAUUGUGCAAAAACAGCUCCCACACUAUUUAAGUAUGUUCCUAUGUCUGCCAGUUAUGCCUAAAAAAAAUUAUAUGUUCAUGAAGUAUUUCUUGCAUGAAGCAAUUCAUGAUAAAAUGGUGUAGGUAAAAAUUAAACAAAAAAUAUAUUUCA